UCUCGGCAAAAUAUCCUCAUAAGUUUGACAAUAAGAGGAACCACUAAUGUUAGACUCCUUACUUGCUCAUGCUAAAGCAUUUUUAGUAAUAGAGCAUCCAUCACGCCCCUACCUACGGUUAGCCAUAGGCAUGGGGGGGUGUGUGAGAGGAUAACAAACGGUGGUGUCACAAAAUCGGAGGCCACGACUGUUUACUAAAAACACAAUUCAGAGCAAUGAUGAAAAUCAUAGUAUUCUGGAUGAAAUUUGCCCGAUGCCAUUAACAUAAAAGAGGUAAUGGGAAACUGUUACUAAUUGAAAGUCUGGUUAAUAGCGGUCUUAACUAUGAGGAUCCUAAGGUAGCAAAAUCAGUUGGCCAUUAAAUGUGGUCUGGUAUCAAUAGUGUAACGAUGGUCUCACUGUCUCUACAACUUGCUCAGUGAAAUUGAAUUAUCCGUGCAGAUGCGGAUUGCCUCCAGGUGGACGGGAAGACCCUAUGCAGCUUCUACUGAGAG
rnacentral:rRNA from 1 species